AAGAAAAAAUUAUUUCAGUUUAAAAAAAAAAGAAGGAAAAACUCUUCCAAAUGCCCCAAUACUUCAAAAACAAAUACAAGUCUUAUAUGCUAUGUCACUCAGAAUUUUAUUUAAACAUGAAGAGUUGAGCUAAACGUUUUACGUCUCUCCUUUCUUUAGAUUACUAAGGCUGAAAACUAAGCUUUGGCAAUGAUUUGUCUUCUCCGUGACCCCAUUUGGGGGACUGGGGCCAUUACUACUCUGUCAGAUCUAACACUGAUCCUUAAACGGGCAUAGUACUUUUAACAAAUGCUCUGGACUCCUCUUAAGGAAACUUUCAAUCUGCUCUAAGUUACUCCUCACAAGCACUUCAUGAGAUUCAACUGACAGACUGCAGUGGCAUGAGGGGAGAAGAGGUUUGAGUGCCUGCAAACUGGCUACUAUUACAUAAGAAGGAGUAGUUCUGCUACCUGGCUGCUGAGGAUUCACUGCAAGGAGGCCCCUUCCAAUUAACAUUCUUUUCUAGAUCACCCAGUGUGUAAUGCGAUGAAGAGCAAGUGAACAAGCAUGAAUUAAAUGCUUCAUUAUGAUAUCUAAACUUGGGGAAAGGUAAAACACGCAGCUAUAGAUAAAUAUAUUACAACACCACAGAUACUCUGGGCAUCUACUCACUGUCUACAUUAUAACCGAUUACAACACGAAGGCUUACAAAAUG
rnacentral:lncRNA from 1 species